rnacentral:rRNA from 1 species
UGGGGAAUUUUGGACAAUGGGGGAAACCCUGAUCCAGCCAUCCCGCGUGUGCGAUGAAGGCCUUCGGGUUGUAAAGCUCUUUUGGCAGGAAAGAAACGUCGCGGGUUAAUACCCCGCGGAACUGACGGUACCUGCAGAAUAAGCACCGGCUAACUACGUGCCAGCAGCCGCGGUAAUACGUAGGGUGCAAGCGUUAAUCGGAAUUAUUGGGCGUAAAGCGUGCGCAGGCGGUUCGGAAAGAAAGAUGUGAAAUCCCAGGGCUUAACUUUGGAACUGCAUUUUUAACUACCGGGCUAGAGUGUGUCAGAGGGAGGUGGAAUUCCGCGUGUAGCAGUGAAAUGCGUAGAUAUGCGGAGGAACACCGAUGGCGAAGGCAGCCUCCUGGGAUAACACUGACGCUCAUGCACGAAAGCGUGGGGAGCAAACA